rnacentral:rRNA from 1 species
CUGGCUCAGAUUGAACGCUGGCGGCAGGCCUAACACAUGCAAGUCGAGCGGAUGAGAGGAGCUUGCUCCUCGAUUCAGCGGCGGACGGGUGAGUAAUGCCUAGGAAUCUGCCUGGUAGUGGGGGACAACGUUUCGAAAGGAACGCUAAUACCGCAUACGUCCUACGGGAGAAAGCAGGGGACCUUCGGGCCUUGCGCUAUCAGAUGAGCCUAGGUCGGAUUAGCUAGUUGGUGAGGUAAUGGCUCACCAAGGCGACGAUCCGUAACUGGUCUGAGAGGAUGAUCAGUCACACUGGAACUGAGACACGGUCCAGACUCCUACGGGAGGCAGCAGUGGGGAAUAUUGGACAAUGGGCGAAAGCCUGAUCCAGCCAUGCCGCGUGUGUGAAGAAGGUCUUCGGAUUGUAAAGCACUUUAAGUUGGGAGGAAGGGUUGUUUCCUAAUACGAAGCAAUUUUGACGUUACCGACAGAAUAAGCACCGG